UCGAAAUAGUAAGCAGCCCAAGUCACUGGUCUGAACUCUGAACUCUGAAGCUGUUCUUGUUGCGGGAUCUUGCUUACUCUCUCGGCGCCUCCAUGACCAACUCCGAGCUCUUCCUCCUUUUGCUCACACUUCUCGGUCUUAUCCUCUUCUUAUCUGCAUCUCCAUCAUCGCCCAAUGAUCGAGAAGAGCUAGAGACCCCCAUCACUCGCUUUCAGCAAUACCUCAGAUUCAAAACCGCCCAUCCCGACCCCAACUACACUGCCCCCGUCUCUUUCCUCACCUCCCUUGCCCAAUCCAUUGGUCUCGUUACUCAAUCCUUAGAAUUCACUCCUAACAAGCCUGUCCUCCUCGUGACCUGGCCAGGCAAUAAACCAUCUCUCCCUUCAAUUCUCUUUAAUUCCCACCUUGACUCUGUCCCCGCUGAACCCGCUAAAUGGUUUCACCCGCCUUUCUCCGCCGUCCGUACACCUGACGGGAAAAUCUUCGCUCGCGGAGCACAGGACGACAAGUGUAUAGCUAUCCAGUAUAUAGAAGCCAUCCGCAACUUGAAAGCCAAAAACUUUAUCCCUACUCGCACAAUCCACAUUUCAUAUGUCCCCGACGAGGAGAUUGGUGGAAUUGAUGGGGCAGCCAAGUUUGUUAAUUCUAAGGAAUUUCGAGAUCUGAAUGUUGGUUUCGCUUUGGAUGAAGGGCAGGCCUCAGUGAAUGACGAGUUCAGAUUGUUCUUUGCCGAUAGGUCGCCGCAGAAUCUCAUAAUAAGGGCAAAAGGGGAACCUGGGCAUGGUUCGAGAAUGUACGAUAAUGGGGCAAUGGAGAAUUUAAUGAAGAGUGUAGAGAUUAUUAGUAGCUUUAGGGAAAGUCAGUUCGAUGUUGUUAAGGCUGGGAAAGCAGCCAAUUCGGAGGUUAUUUCAGUUAAUCCAGUUUACUUGAAAGCUGGGAUUCCUUCCCCUACUGGAUUUGUCAUGAAUAUGCGACCUUCAGAGGCAGAAGCAGGGUUUGAUCUUCGAUUGCCUCCUACAGCAGACCCAGAUCUUAUCAAGAAAAGAAUUGCAGAAGAGUGGGCACCCGCUAUACGUAACAUGACAUAUGAGAUAAUUGAGAAGGGACCCAUAAGAGAUCACAUGGGACGCCCGUUAAUGACAGCGGCAGAUGAUUCAAAUCCAUGGUGGGCAGUUUUCAGGCAAGCUAUUGCAGCAGCUGGGGGAAAACUUGCAAAGCCCGAAAUCUUGUCAUCAACCACUGAUGCACGGUUCAUAAGACAGUUGGGAAUUCCAGCUUUUGGUUUUUCUCCAAUGACAAAUACUCCCAUCUUAUUGCAUGACCAUAAUGAGUUCUUGAAGGAUACAGUAUUUUUGAAAGGAAUUGAGGUUUAUGAGCAUAUAAUUAGUUCUUUGAGUUCCUUUGAGGAGGUUCACUCAAUAUAGACACUCUCAGUUUGUGAUUAAUGAGAAGGAGAAUGUAUAAUGCACUGACUUCGACAUGGGGACACAAUACCGAUAUGGAUGGAAAAAUCGUCACCAAAUUUGCAGUUUCAUUUGGCUGUGCAUGCACACACGUACAAUGUAUGCUAGAAGAUAACCAUUAAAAAUAAGCCACAUGCACAGGAAAACGACUGGAGUGCUUCAAAUUAUGUCCUGCAAACCUCAAAUGCCUGUUGCUAGUUCUUUGUCUCUUCAAGCUAUGGGCAAAGGUUAGAGAUAGAUCUCAUGCCUCAAGUGUUAGCCAGGAACUGUGGAGAUAUAGUACUUAUGAGUUGUUUCUGUAAUUGGCCUUCUGUUUUGGCCCCUUGAUCUUCCCAUAUCAUCUUAUUUUCAACAUCAUUGUUGUACAUGUUUGACAAAAAAAUCCCGAAAAGGGGGAGUUUGGUGG